GCCGAGGUGGCUCAAUGGCUGAGCAUCAACCUAUGAGCGAGGAGGUCCGGGUUCGAUUCCUGGUCAGGGCA
rnacentral:tRNA from 1 species